AGGACAUUUACCCUUUGUAUUAUGAAAGGAACUGAUGCCAUUGCAAGAUACCACCUCUUUGCUACCACAGAAAGAUCUCAGAGUGAGAACACCUUCUUCUAUGAUGAGCUGUGCACACAAAAAGGGCAAGAAAUGAAAUCUGGAACGUUUUGCUCUCUUCAUAAAGAACCUACUCCAGACUAACAGGUACCAUAGGGAUUCCCUGGUGGCUCAGUGUUAAAGUAUCCUGCCUACAAUGCGGAAGACUUGGUUUUAUCCUUAGGCCAGGAAGAUCCCAUGGAGAAGGAAAUGGCAACCCACUCUGGUACUCUUGCCUGGAAAAUUCCAUGGACAGAGGAGCCUAGCAGGCUACAGUCCAUAGUGUUGCAAAGAGUCAGACGUGACUUCACCACCACCACCACCAUAAGACUACACCAUCCACACGAUCUCUUGUAGUAGCUCUUCAGUGAAGACUUUUUUCUGUUAAAAAUCAGGGAAUUCCUUGGUGGUUAAGUGGUUAGGACUCUGUGCUUCCACUUCAGUGUGCCUGAGCUUGAUUGCUGGUUGGGGAAUUAAGAUCCCACACACCUUAUUGU
ensembl:lncRNA